rnacentral:rRNA from 1 species
GCUAACCGCGAGGAGGCCGCUUACCACGGUAUGCUUCAUGACUGGGGUGAAGUCGUAACAAGGUAGCCGUAGGGGAACCUGCGGCUGGAUCACCUCCUUUCUAG